rfam:Haemonchus contortus, ISE/inbred ISE, WGS project CAVP01000000 data, contig: Hcontortus_2069
GGCAAAACCGUGAAGUACAGUAGAUUAGUAUGGUCGGCUGAUCCUACUGAUCUACUCUACUUCAGAUAUGGCCC